AUGUCAUGGCUGGGGCAUUUUCUGGAAAGAUACUUGAAUCUUUCCCAUGCCUCUAGAUAGCUUUCAAGCUCUUUCUACUUGAAAGUAUGGACUUCAUUCCUGACUU
rnacentral:snoRNA from 1 species